rnacentral:rRNA from 1 species
GGCCUUUUGAAUUUAAUAUAAGGUCUGACCUGCCCAGUGAUAAUUUUAACGGCCGCGGUAUAUUGACCGUGCAAAGGUAGCAUAAUCAUUAGUCUUUUAAUAGAGGGCUGGAAUGAAAGGUUUAACGAGGAACUGACUGUCUCAUUUUAUUUGUUUUAAAAUUUAAUUUUUUAGUUAAAAAGCUAAAAUUUUAUUGGUAGACGAGAAGACCCUAUAGAGCUUUACAUUUAAUUAUAUAAAUGUUUUUAUAUUAAUAUUUUUAUUCAAUUAUGUGUUUUGUUGGGGUGACAAAAAUAUAUAAUUAACUUUUUUAUUUAAUUAACCAUUGAUUUAUGAUUAUUAGAUCCAUUACUAUUGAUUAUUAGAUUAAGUUACCUUAGGGAUAACAGCGUAAUCCUCCUCCAGAGUUCAUAUUUACAGGAUGGGCUUGCGACCUCGAUGUUGGAUUAAGAUAAUAAUUAGGUGUAGCCGCUUAAUUAAUAGGUCUGUUCGACCUUUAAAUUCUU